rnacentral:rRNA from 1 species
AUGGCGGCGGCGGCGCCGGUGUCCGGCCACCUCCGGGUGCGGUGCCCCUGCUCGCCCUUCCGCCACCGUCGGCCGUUUCCUCCGGCCCUUCCCGACCGAACAAGGCAACACUAUUCCAAUAGUUCAGACAUGGGAAUUAGAGAAAGCGGCGAUUUCAGGCUUGGAUUUUAUGCCAACUUUAAUGUGCAAAGUAGCAAACAAGAAUGGAUGAAUGAGAGCAGGAAGAUGUUUUAUCUUAGAACCACCAACGGUGUCAGCAAUAACAUCCAUAAUGGAGCCACUUCUCUAAGGGCUGAAGAUCUAAAUCAUGAACAACCCUUGGGUUCAACCUAUCCUUCCAUGUAUAACAAUCUAAGAGAAAGAGUGCCAUCUAAAUCAACUGUGAAUAGAUAUGCCAAUACAGAUUUGGUCAAGUGUAGUUUGACAAAUCGGUUUGCCCAUGCUGUGUCGGCCCCAACGAGUGUUGUUAACAAUCACAGCAAACUAUCGAGCAUGCCUAGUAGCUCUAAGGCGGAGAUUUCUUUGCAUGAUUGGUCAUCCAUGGAAGCCCCUCUGCCUAAUUUCUCAAAUACGGAGGCAACUUCAGAGUUUGAUGGCAAUGCUAAUGUUGGGUAUGAGAAUAAACACAAACUUUUUGCCAAAAAGGUGGCUCCAUCUUCCCCAGAAAAAAUAUCCUUGACCAAUGAGUCUAAAAGCACACGGAAGGCCCUUGCUGGCAUCUAUGACGAAGUUUUGGUUGUUGACAAUAUCGACUCAGCUGAGAAUGUUGUUCGAUUGCUUACUACAAAGUACAAAAGCUUUGUUCAUGCAUGCGACACAAAGGUAUUCUAUAUUUAA